rnacentral:rRNA from 1 species
UACGAAGGGUGCAAACGUUGCUCGGAAUUAUUGGGCGUAAAGCGCACGUAGGCGGCUUAGCAAGUCGGAAGUGAAAUCCCUCGGCUCAACCAAGGAAGUGCUUUCGAAACUGCUGAGCUUGAGUACUUAAGAGGAUCGCGGAGUUCCCGGUGUAGAGGUGAAAUUCGUAGAUAUCGGGAGGAACACCAGUGGCGAAGGCGGCGAUCUGGGAAGAUACUGACGCUGAGGUGCGAAAGCGUGGGGAGCAAACAGG